CGUCAGGACGAACGCUGGCGGCGUGCCUAAUACAUGCAAGUCGAACGGUCUUUCUAUGGAAGCUUGCUUCCACUGAGAAGAUAGUGGCGAACGGGUGAGUAACACGUGGGUAACCUGCCCAUAAGAGGGGGAUAACAUCCGGAAACGGGUGCUAAUACCGCAUAGUUUUCUUGAUCGCAUGAUCGGGAAAGGAAAGACGGCCUUUGUGCUGUCGCUUAUGGAUGGACCCGCGGCGUAUUAGUUAGUUGGUGAGGUAACGGCUCACCAAGACGAUGAUACGUAGCCGACCUGAGAGGGUGAUCGGCCACAUUGGGACUGAGACACGGCCCAAACUCCUACGGGAGGCAGCAGUAGGGAAUCUUCCGCAAUGGACGAAAGUCUGACGGAGCAACGCCGCGUGAGUGAAGAAAGGUUUUCGGAUCGUAAAACUCUGUUGUCAGAGAAGAACAAGUUGGAGAGUAACUGCUCCAGCCUUGACGGUAUCUGACCAGAAAGCCACGGCUAACUACGUGCCAGCAGCGGC
rnacentral:rRNA from 1 species